GCACAGUUAUGCCAUUCUAUAAAAACGAAGGAUAUUUCAUGGAUCCUAACAGCACGGCGGGGAGUUCAUCUAAGGCCAUUCUGACUGCAUUGGACAUGUGCAAAAAAUCAUGGAAGAAGCUCUAUGACAGCUUCAAGAGGAGCUAUACAACUUCCAAAAAAGCUGCAGCUAGUGGUGCAGGACUUGAUGACAUCCUUGAGGCAGAGCAGAGUGGAGAAGCCCACAAGUGGAAGUUCUACAGCGCUCUCCUUUUCCUCAGGGAUGUCGUCGCCCCAAGGAGGUCGACGUCGCUGCAAAUGAGGACAUGGGCAAUGCAGAACAUGAUUAUUUCUGUGCUGGGCCAUCCAGGGCAGGCAGUGCUGUGCCAUCCAGGGCUGGUAGUUCUGUGCCAUCCCUAGUCCCAGCUGCAGAAGGCAUGGUAGAAGAGGAGGAAGAAGACGUGUCUCUUACAUCAGCAAGUGCAGCGCACAUGCCACGAAAGAGAAGACCUUUCUAGAGCGGCUCCACGACACCAGCCUUCGCCCACUGCCAGGAAACUGCACCUCACGAAGUAGUCGGCAAAAACGUUUCUCACACUUGCUGCCCCACGUGAGAAACGCCUUGCAAGCGUCGGUCUGAGGUCCUCCAGGGCAUUUGCAGGAUUCCUGGCAAGCAGGUUCCUCCACUGACCAUCCUCGGCAUCACUGGCAUCAAUGUUGCGGUCCGCGAACCCUUCAAUGGACAAAGUCUGAAGAAAAAUUGCCUCUUCUUCACAGUGUGGGACACAAACUUGCCUCAGUGUGAUGGCCAGUCUGUGUGCAGGUUCCAAAGCUCGACGACCCUGGGGGUGCUUCUCCAGUCAGUGCUUGACGAGGCUCAGCAGAUAGUCGAAUUGUUCAGGAGACAUGCGCACAUACCUCCUGAACGCAGCAGAAUCAUGGAGUCUCAUCUUUGACAUCUGCAGAUGUGAUACCAAUAGCACUACAUUCAGCACUGCAUAAUGUUUAAUAGUAGGUUUGAAGGCAGUGUUAUCUUACUAACCAGUGUGUGGAAGUCCCCCUCAGUCUCUCUCGCUCGCCACAGGACACUUACCCAUUGCGAAUGCUUUUUUGAGUGUUUACGCUUCU